UAUAGUUCAGUGGUAGAGCGUGUGCCUAGCACGCAGGAGGUCCUGGGUUCGAUCCCCAGUA
rnacentral:tRNA from 1 species